GAGUGAUAAUAAUUGAAUAACUCUUUGCUUGUUUUUGUUCGAUGAUCCCUUUCUCGAUAGUCUUGAAAAUGAUAAUGUUCAUCUCGAUAAGAUGUAAGAUAGCCAUGCAUGUUUGUGAAGUCAGAAUCAACUACAUAGUACUUGCCCUCUAAUGGAUUAGGGAAUCUAUAUUCAGGAUUUAUGACUACUGAUACAAAAAGCUGAGAGUCAUUCGCAGUAUCUUCCCAACC
rnacentral:lncRNA from 1 species